AGUGAACGCUGGCGGCAGGCCUAACACAUGCAAGUCGAACGGCAGCACAGGAGAGCUUGCUCUCUGGGUGGCGAGUGGCGGACGGGUGAGGAAUACAUCGGAAUCUACCCUGUCGUGGGGGAUAACGUAGGGAAACUUACGCUAAUACCGCAUACGACCUGAGGGUGAAAGCAGGGGACCGCAAGGCCUUGCGCGACUGGAUGAGCCGAUGUCGGAUUAGCUAGUUGGUGGGGUAAAGGCUCACCAAGGCGACGAUCCGUAGCUGGUCUGAGAGGAUGAUCAGCCACACUGGAACUGAGACACGGUCCAGACUCCUACGGGAGGCAGCAGUGGGGAAUAUUGGACAAUGGGCGCAAGCCUGAUCCAGCCAUGCCGCGUGUGUGAAGAAGGCCUUCGGGUUGUAAAGCACUUUGUUGGGAAAGAAAAGCGGUCGGUUAAUACCGGUCGUUCUGACGGUACCCAAAGAACAAGCACCGGCUAACUUCGUGCCAGCAGCCGCGGUAAUACGAAGGGUGCAAGCGUUACUCGGGAUUACUGGGCGUAAAGCGUGCGUAGGUGGUUCGUUAAGUCUGCCGUGAAAGCCCCGGGCUCAACCUGGGAAUUGCGGUGGAUACUGGCGGGCUAGAGUGCGGUAGAGGAGAGUGGAAUUCCCGGUGUAGCAGUGAAAUGCGUAGAGAUCGGGAGGAACAUCAGUUGCGAAGGCGGCUCUCUGGACCAGCA
rnacentral:rRNA from 1 species